GGCCAUACUGCCUAAUGUCAUUGUGGUAGCUGUGAAAAAAGGAACAAUAUAUCCACUAUGGAGAUAAUUGUGAAUGUGUUUUUAAUAACAAUGUUUCUUCAAGGUAUUCUCUGCCAGACAUUUACCCAGUCUGAAGCUGUUGUUAAAAGACCAGGAGAAUCUUAUAAACUGAUCUGCACAGCAUCUGGAUUCACAUUCAGUAGCUACUGGGCAGCUGUAGUCAGACAGGCUUCUGGGAAAGGAUUAGAGUGGAUUGCAACUAUUGGCACAUCUAGCAGUCCCAUCUCCUAUUCCCAGUCAGUGCAAGGAAGGUUCACAAUCUCCAGAGACGACUCCAGCAGUCAGCUGCAUUUACAGAUGACCAGCCUGAAGAGUGAGGACACUGCUGCAUAUUACUGUGCUAGAGAGACACAGUAUGAGAAGACAGAGGAAGAGCUGUACAAAAACCACAUCCUCACACAUCUUCACACAUGCUCAUUGUACAUGAAAGAUUUCUCGGACAUGGAGCGUUAG